rnacentral:rRNA from 1 species
GAUGAACGCUGGCGGCGUGCCUAAUACAUGCAAGUCGAGCGAACAGACGAGGAGCUUGCUCCUCUGACGUUAGCGGCGGACGGGUGAGUAACACGUGGAUAACCUACCUAUAAGACUGGGAUAACUUCGGGAAACCGGAGCUAAUACCGGAUAAGAUAUUGAACCGCAUGGUUCAAUAGUGAAAGACGGUUUUGCUGUCACCUAUAGAUGGAUCCGCGCCGCAUUAGCUAGUUGGUAAGGUAACGGCGUACCAAGGCAACGAUGCGUAGCCGACCUGAGAGGGUGAUCGGCCACACUGGAACUGAGACACGGUCCAGACUCCUACGGGAGGCAGCAGUAGGGAAUCUUCCGCAAUGGCCGAAAGCCUGACGGAGCACCGCCGCGUGAGUGAUGAGGGUCUUCGGCUCGUAAAACUCUGUUAUUAGGGAAGAACAAAUGUGUAAGUAACUAUGCACGUCUUGACGGUACCUAAUCAGAAAGCCACGGCUAACUACGUG